rnacentral:rRNA from 1 species
AACGAACGUUGGCGGCGUGGAUUAGGCAUGCAAGUCGUGCGUGAAAGGGGCUUCGGCUCCGAGUAAAGCGGCGAACGGGUGAGUAACGCGUGGGAAACCUGCCUCGAGGUGGGGGAUAACACUCCCAACGGAGUGCUAAUACCGCAUGACAUCCCUUGGUCGCAUGGCCGAGGGAUCAAAGAUGGCCUCUACUUGUAAGCUAUCACCUGGAGAUGGUCCCGCGUCCGAUUAGCUAGUUGGUGAGGUAACGGCUCACCAAGGCAACGAUCGGUAGCUGGUCUGAGAGGAUGGUCAGCCACACUGGGACUGAGAUACGGCCCAGACACCUACGGGUGGCUG